GUGGGGAGUAUUGGACAAUGGGGGCAACCCUGAUCCAGCAAUGCCGCGUGGGUGAUGAAGGCCUUCGGGUUGUAAAGCCCUUUCGGCGGGGACGAUGAUGACGGUACCCGCAGAAGAAGCCCCGGCUAACUUCGUGCCAGCAGCCGCGGUAAUACGAAGGGGGCUAGCGUUGUUCGGAAUGACUGGGCGUAAAGGGCGCGUAGGCGGCGAUUUUAGUCAGGCGUGAAAGCCCUGGGCUCAACCUAGGAACUGCGUUUGAUACUGGAUCGCUUGAGUGUGGGAGAGGAUGGUGGAAUUCCCAGUGUAGAGGUGAAAUUCGUAGAUAUUGGGAAGAACACCGGUGGCGAAGGCGGCCAUCUGGACCACUACUGACGCUGAGGCGCGAAAGCGUGGGGAGCAAACAGGAUUAGAAACCCCAGUAGUCC
rnacentral:rRNA from 1 species